rnacentral:rRNA from 1 species
GUACGGCGAGUGAACCGGGAAGAGCUCAAAUUUGAAAUCUGGCGUCCUCAGGGCGUCCGAGUUGUAAUCUAUAGAGGCGUUUUCCGUGCCGGACCGUGUCCAAGUUCCUUGGAACAGGAUAUCAAAGAGGGUGACAAUCCCGUACUUGACACGACGACCGGUGCUCUGUGAUACGUCUUCUACGAGUCGAGUUGUUUGGGAAUGCAGCUCAAAAUGGGUGGUGAGUUCCAUCUAAAGCUAAAUAUUGGCGAGAGACCGAUAGCGAACAAGUACCGUGAGGGAAAGAUGAAAAGCACUUUGGAAAGAGAGUUAAACAGUACGUGAAAUUGUUGAAAGGGAAACGAUUGAAGUCAGUCGUGACCGAGAGGCUCAGCCGGUUCUGCCGGUGUAUUCCCCUCGGUCGGGUCAACAUCAGUUUUGUCCGGUGGAUAAGGGCGGUAGGAAGGUGGCACCCUCGGGUGUGUUAUAGCCUGCCGUCGCAUACAUCGGGUGAGACUGAGGAACGCAGCUCGCCUUUAUGGCCGGGGUUCGCCCACGUCCGAGCUUAGGAUGUUGACAUAAUGGCUUUAAACGACCCGUCUUGAA